rnacentral:lncRNA from 1 species
UAACAGUUCUGUAAUAAAGGACAUAAUUCUCUUUUUGUUUACAUAAUAGUUGUGUUAUAUCAUCAGAAAAUGAGAACAACUAACUUCCAAAAAAAAAUUAAAAAUUAAGUUGAGUAAAAUCCAUCCAUAAAUUGCGCGCACUUCACAUAACAUUUCCUGCUUCAUUGUAACGUCAAACAAUGGUUGUUACGUACGACGUCACUGUACUUACCAGAUAACAAAUCUUCUGAAAACCCUCUGGCACUCACCAGAUAAAAAGCUUGGCACUCAAAGGGUUAA